rnacentral:pre_miRNA from 1 species
UAAAUCUCUCUAAUAUUUACCAAGUUUAUAGAAAAAUGCAUCAACAUUUCCAACAUCAAAUUAGUAUCAUUAAAUUCUCCGUGAAAUAUAUUCAUAGUGCAUUUACUUGAACUUGUAGAUUUUAAUAGUUUUUUUUUUCUAAAAACUUGGUGAAAGUUAGAGAAGUUUGACUU